CCGUAAUCAUUUGUCUUAACUCUAAGAAGCCUCUUAUGGAUGCUGAUUCUUGUCUGAUCAUUUGUAUGUGCCUCAACAGACUUCUUCUUCUCAAAGUCUACAUACUUGGGCAGUCCUUGACCUGCAUCUACAGACAGUUUUAUCAGGCAUUAGUUCUUGAGCAUGGCAUCAUGGCGAACCUUUACAUACAAUUCGUGCUUUCGAUUAGAAUGAGCCGUAUUUGUUUCAUUUGCAUGAAGGAAUAUCUACUUGACUCAAAUCUUUAAUACAGUCUUACAGAGUACUUUCUUGUACAUAUGCAUGGUUAGUGCUAAAUUACGCAGAGUGUGCUCAUGAUGAUGGAUGCUUGUAAAAACAUAGAACAAUGCAACUAAGAAACCGAACCUGUGUAUGCAGUUGACAGAAGUGAUGCGGAGAUAACUACGAGGAAGAAGAGGAGACAGAGCCUUUUUAGAAGCACCAUUUUUGCACUUGAGAGAAUAUACAUGGCAUUACAUUUACUUCAAGUGUCCAAGGCAUUAUUGG
rnacentral:lncRNA from 1 species